rnacentral:rRNA from 1 species
GCACCCUACGGGGCGCAGCAGUAGGGAAUCUUCCACAAUGGACGAAAGUCUGAUGGAGCAACGCCGCGUGAGUGAAGAAGGGUUUCGGCUCGUAAAGCUCUGUUGGUAGUGAAGAAAGAUAGAGGUAGUAACUGGCCUUUAUUUGACGGUAAUUACUUAGAAAGUCACGGCUAACUACGUGCCAGCAGCCGCGGUAAUACGUAGGUGGCAAGCGUUGUCCGGAUUUAUUGGGCGUAAAGCGAGUGCAGGCGGUUCAAUAAGUCUGUCGGGUAAGCCUUCGGCUCAACCGGAGAAUUG